UUCAUCAAUGUGAUAAGUUGGAUAGCCUCCCAAGUGAACUAUGGUCUUUGACUACCUUAACAAAUGUACGUGUUCGGAGACCUUCCAAUGCUAUGGCUGCAAUCCUACAGAAUUUGGAAGUUGAGAAUGGAUGUGAGGUCAUUGUAGAAUAAUUAGAAUUAGUGCUGGUUUGCUUUGAAUUUAUAAGUCGUUAGCAAAAAAAAUCUCAACCUUUCAUAUAUUUUAAACACCUUAUUAAUUAUUUUCAUCUCUUUUUCUUCUUCGUAUUCGUCUUUCUUUUCUAGUUAAUAUAAAUAUUGAAAUUUAGUAACAUUUCAACAAGUAAUAGAUAAGGGCUAUGUUACUAAAAGACUUUAGAAACUCUUUUGUAUUAUGUUGUUAACAUAUAAUGAUAUAAACAUUACUGAUUCAUAUUUUUUUAACACUUGAUAUUAUCAUUAGUUAAAUUAAAUAAAUAAUACAACACUAACCUCAGUGCAGUGAAGACUGAAGAGUUAUAUACUUCACUUCAAGUUAGUUUUUCUUUUUUCUCUUUGUGUUUUAGUGAUCUUCAAAAUCUGCUAUGCUUCUUAUUGUCACAACAUUGAAUUUGUUGCCUCAUCCGGAUCAUCUCCACGACGCGCCACCUUACUUCCACUUUCCAAUUGUUCAAUGCCUUCCAUAAAUCCUCUACAAAUCCAAUUGAGCAGUGAAUUGAAGUGGCGAAACCUCCAAAAUUGCUAAGAGAAAAACACGCAACGCGCAAACACUCGAAAUUAGGUUUUAAGCAAACAAAUUCAGUACACAUAAAAACUGAAAACGAGAAAUUUCAAUGACAAAAUAAGAGAAAAAUCAGAUAUAAUAGUUUGAGGUGAAGAUGAGGAAACUAACCUAACAGUAGAAGACGGAAAUGCAGGUAAGAUCCGAUUCCAAAAUGAAUAUCGUGUAUUUUUUUUUCUCUUGAAAGAAGAAUGAAGAACAAAGAAGCACCGUACAGU
rnacentral:lncRNA from 1 species